ACACGCAUGACACACUGCAUAUCAAUAAGCGGAGGAAAAGAAACUAACAAGGAUUCCCCUUAGUAACGGCGAGUGAAGCGGGAAGAGCUCAAAUUUGAAAUCUUCAAGGUUCUACCUUGACGAAUUGUAGUUUAUAGAAGUGUUUUCUGUUAGUAGAGUGGCAAAAGUUCUUUGGAAUAGGACAUCAUAGAGGGUGAGAAUCCCGUAUUUGGUCAUUCUUUCUAGCUUUGUGAUACACUUUCAACGAGUCGGAUUGUUUGGGAAUGCAGUCCAAAAUGGGUGGUAAAUUUCAUCUAAAGCUAAAUAUUGGCGAGAGACCGAUAGCGAACAAGUACCGUGAGGGAAAGAUGAAAAGAACUUUGAAAAGAGAGUUAAACAGUACGUGAAAUUGUCAAAAGGGAAGCGUUUGACACCAGUGUUGUUUUUCUCGAAAAUCAAUUAAAGAGCCUGAUUUUGUGUUGUUAAGACUUUAUCAGCUUACUGCUACUUUUUCUUGUUAACUUUCUUAAUGCACUUUUCGGUUAACAAGUCAACAUCAAUUUCUUUUGUUGUAAAAGGGUCAUGAGGAAGGUGGCUUUCAUUUCGGUAGAAAGUGUUUAUAGCCUUUGUACCUCUGCAAUCGGAGAGAUUGAGGUCUGCAGCGUAGAUCCUUCGGGGUUAGAUACAUUUGUGCUAAGUUAUAGUUUUUCAUAGACAACUUGUUGACUAUGAUUAGUCAUGUAGCUUACUCGCUUAUGCUAUUUUACCUACGCUUAGGAUGUUGAUCUACAGAGCGAGAGU
rnacentral:rRNA from 1 species